rnacentral:rRNA from 1 species
CGUGGAGACAGGUGGUGCAUGGCUGUCAUCAGCUCGUGUCGUGAGAUGUUGGGUUAAGUCCCGCAACGAGCGCAACCCUCACCCCUAGUUGCCACCGGGUAAAGCCGAGCACUCGAGGGGAACUGCCAGCGUCAAGCUGGAGGAAGGCGGGGAUGACGUCAAGUCAUCAUGCCCCUUACGUCCUGGGCUACACACGUGCUACGAUGGCUAGUACAGAGGGAUGCGAGACCGCGAGGUGGAGCUAAUCCCAAAAAGCUGGUCUAAGUUCAGAUUGCAGUCUGCAACUCGACUGCAUGAAGUAGGAAUCGCUAGUAAUCGCGCAUCAGCACGGCGCGGUGAAUACGUUCCCGGGCCUUGUACACACCGCCCGUCACACCACGAAAGCUGGCUGUACUCGAAGUCGCUGAG